rnacentral:rRNA from 1 species
CCUACGGGUGGCAGCAGUGAGGAAUAUUGGUCAAUGGACGAGAGUCUGAUCCAGCCAAGUAGCGUGAAGGAUGACUGCCCUAUGGGUUGUAAACUUCUUUUAUAUGGGAAUAAAAUGUUCCACGUGUGGGAUUUUGUAUGUACCAUAUGAAUAAGGAUCGGCUAACUCCGUGCCAGCAGCCGCGGUAAUACGGAGGAUCCGAGCGUUAUCCGGAGUUAUUGGGUUUAAAGGGAGCGUAGGUGGAUUGUUAAGUCAGUUGUGAAAGGUUGCGGCUCAACCGUAAAAUUGCAGUUGAAACUGGCAGUCUUGAGUACAGUAGAGGUGGGCGGAAUGCGUGGUGUAGCGGUGAAAUGCUUAGAUAUCACGAAGAACACCGAUUGCGAAGGCAGCUCACUGGACUGCAACUGACACUGAGGCUCGAAAGUGUGGGUAGCAAACAGGAUUAGAUACCCGAGUAGUC